CCCCUUCCCAAGGGACCGGAAAAUCCCUAUAUUGAGGGUGUCGGGAAACCGACUAUGGCGAUAAACGUGGUGUGGAAUAAGCGUUGCGGACCCGGGGGCAGUGCCCGGCGCCUCCACCAAACCUCUCCGGCGGCCCGCGUUGCGACCGGGGCUCUCUGGGGGCGAUACAGGAUCGACGCGCGUGGUAAAGACAUGGCUUUCGCCCGGCAUGGUACCGCCGUUAUCGGGCCAAACACACAAAUGCCAAUGAUAACGAGGCAUUUGCUGUAGCCGCAUAAGCUGCAGCGGGGUUCGGGGGGCACCUGGCAACAGAAGCCCCCCACU
rnacentral:tmRNA from 1 species